AUGGCGCUCCCGGCUUCAAGGAUCGUCGUCGUCGUCGUGAGCGGCCUUGUCAUGAUGAUGAUGAUGAUGGCGCCAGCGGGCGCUGACGAGUGCAUGGACUUGUGCCUUCAUGAUUGCGCCGUCAAGGGGAAGAACUUGACCCAGGAGCAAUGCCAGUACGCAUGCAAUUACGGCUGCCCCUUUGGUGCCGCCCAGCACGCUCUAUCGAAUGCCCCCGCCAUUGCCAGGAAUGGCGGCAAGAAUACCGUCCAUGUCCUCAUCCAUGUCCUCGCAGCAACCAUGUGGCUCUAG
rnacentral:rRNA from 1 species